UACAGAGGUCUCGAGCGUUGUUCGGAUUCAUUGGGCGUAAAGGGUGCGUAGGUGGCGCUGUAAGUCGGGUGUGAAAUCCUGAGGCUUAACCUCGGAACUGCAUUCGAUACUGCGGCGCUUGAGGACUGGAGAGGAGACUGGAAUUCAUGGUGUAGCAGUGAAAUGCGUAGAGAUCGGGAGGAACACCCGUGGCGAAGGCGGCUCACUGGGCCGGUCCUGACGCUGAGACGCGCAAGGCGUGGGAG
rnacentral:rRNA from 1 species